rnacentral:lncRNA from 1 species
UGCACAGCUGUAUUGCAGAGAUACUGAUUGAUCACGAAUCUUCCAAACCUUCCGAACAUUGUUCUUCAAAAUCAUACACUUUAGACAGAAUCACACGCUCAUAGGACGAUGUAAACUUGCUGCUGCAAUGGCGAGCUGUGGACCAGGGCGUGGCGGCGCGAUUGAGACUUCAGACUGGAACUUGCCGGUGGUUGAGCAGAGCGGCGUGCCACUUACUAACAUGACUAAGCCAACAUGUAAGGCGCUGUUCACUGUCUAUUUAUCAAUAUGGGCAAUAAGUAAACUCUUCUGUCUUCUUGGCCAGCCUUUGGUGUGGACUAUUUUGUGUCAGACGUUGCUGAUCUUAGAUUGAGCUUUUUGUUUAUCAACUUGACAUAUUUCAUUCAUCAUGUGUUACGUGGUUGUCUGUCAGAAGUGUAAUAAGAAGACAUGGAAAGGAUGCGGACAACACGCUGAGCAGGUGAUGCGAGAUGUUCCAGAGGGAGAAAGAUGCAAGUGCCCUAGAGGAAGCUAAAAUGGCAUCUCAACAAUCGAUCUUUCCGCACAUUACCAUCUGUCAUGGUUUCUAUAAGUACUAUUUGGGAAGGGGU